CCAGAGAGAGAGAGAGAGAGAGAGAGAGAGAGAGAGAGAGAGAGAGAGAGAGAGAGAGAGAGAGAGAGAGAGAGAGAGAGAGAGAGAGAGAGAGAGAGAGAGAGAGAGAGAGAGAGAGAGAGAGAGAGAGAGAGAGAGAGAGAGAGAGAGAGAGAGAGAGAGAGAAAGAAAGAAAGAAAGAAAGAGAUCUUCCGGUGCCGAUUCCGGCAAUUUCCGGCAGCAAAAAUGGGCGACGUACCGAGUUAUUGCUCGACGAAGGAAUUCGUAUGCGUGAUCGCCUGAAUAGUACAUUUGCAGGCGAAAUUAGUUGAGGUCAGGCGUACACGGGUUGAGGCAUAGUUGUCCCUGCUUCCGCAUUGUAGGAUCUAUCGAACCUUCACCCUCUUUAAUUUUAUUUCUAUUAUGCCUUUUGUUUUAGAAUUGCUCUGAUAACCUGUGGGAUUAUUAUUAUUAAGUUGAGAUUUGUGUAAUGUGAAUUGGAAGAUGUUGUGAAUUGGGGAGCAGGGUGGCUCCAGAAGAAUAAGGAUAGAUUGCUUAGAAGUGUAAAUGUCUUUCUACAGGUCUUGGGUAGUCCACUUUUAGGGGAAGUUCUGCCAAAUUUUUGGUAAAAUUUCUUCUAAGGUGGGCCCCGCAGGGCCACUUCGAAUUUCAGGGUGAAAUUCGGGGCAGGUCC